rnacentral:tRNA from 1 species
UUAUCUUUAGUUUAAAAAAAAUACACUCUUGUCAAGCGUGAUUUAUUACUUGUAAUAAGAUAAU